GGAAGGUUGGGGGAUAAUAGGAAUUUCAGGGACAAAGAGACAGGAGUACGAGGAGAAAAGGGGAAAGACGGGGAGGAGGAGUGCCUGGACCCGAGGCAAGAUCCUCAGCUGGGAUAAAUCAGCUCCGCUUCCCUGUGGCCAAGGGAGGUAGGAAGAUGCACAGUGGUUCUGGACACAACCUGCCUUGUUUGGAGACUGGACCUCUUCUUUUCCCUGGUGAUGAGCAGGCAUGCAGCAGCCUUCCUGCUGGACUGGAAUACCUAAGCUUGGGACAAGAGACAGCCUUACAGGUGUUGUCUCUCUCUGCACUGAUUAUAACUGGGUGAGUGACUCAGAAAGGACACUACAGGGCAGCUAAAACCAAGCUGAAGGAGUUUCUGCUCUUACUAAACAAGUUUUGACCUUGGAUUCUUCACAGUUGACAGCAGCCAUGGAGCCCUUCGGAGCCUUUGGAGGCAUCUCCUGAUCAAUGAGGCACAAUGAGCUCAAAGCUUCUGCCCAAAGGCACACAGUGUCUGCAAGUGUUCUGUUUUCAGGAGCAUCCAGAGCUUAAGAACAACCUCUUUAAACAUGGGUUGUAUGUCAAAAAUGUGAUAUGAUCUUGGACAUCUGGCAACUAUAUGUAUAUGUUUAAUUGAGAGAAUAAACAUUCCUCAAAAAUCA
ensembl:lncRNA